AGAGUUUGAUCAUGGCUCAGAAUCAACGCUGGCGGCGUGCCUAACACAUGCAGGUCGCACGAGAAAGGGGCUUCGGCCCUGAGUAAAGUGGCGCACGGGUGAGUAACACGUGAAUCAUCUACCCUCGAGUGGGGAAUAACCUAGAGAAAUCUGGGCUAAUACCGCAUAACACUUACGAGUCAAAGCAGCAAUGCGCUUGGGGAGGAGUUCGCGGCCGAUUAGUUAGUUGGCGGGGUAAUGGCCCACCAAGACGAUGAUCGGUAUCCGGCCUGAGAGGGCGCACGGACACACUGGAACUGAAACACGGUCCAGACUCCUACGGGAGGCAGCAGUGGGGAAUUUUGCGCAAUGGGGGAAACCCUGACGCAGCAACGCCGCGUGGAGGAUGAAAUCCCUUGGGAUGUAAACUCCUUUCGAUUGGGAAGAUUAUGACGGUACCAAUAGAAGAAGCCCCGGCUAACUUCGUGCCCAGCAGCCCGCGGUAAAUACGAGGGGGGCNGCGUUGUUUCGGGAAUUAUUGGGCGUAAAGGGUGCGUAGGCGGUUUGACAAGUCUUAUGUGAAAUCUAUGGGCUCAACCCCAUAGUCUGCAUGAGAAACUGUUGAGCUUGAGUAUGGGAGAGGUGAGUGGAAUUUCCGGUGUAGCGGUGAAAUGCGUAGAUAUCGGAAGGAACACCUGUGGCGAAAGCGGCUCACUGGACCAUAACUGACGCUGAGGCACGAAAGCUAGGGGAGCAAACAGGAUUAGAUACCCUAGUAGUCC
rnacentral:rRNA from 1 species